ACUCUCAUUGGCUAUUAAGAUACGCCUCCUUCAUUCCCGAGUUUUGCAGAUACAUUUUCCACCAACGUCCUCUUCCAAAGAUUCAGUGCAGAAAGCUCCCCAGCUCGUCCCUAAAAGCUCUCGGCUUAUCCUCCUCUUCGUCUCAAAAUGAAGUUCUUUGGUUGGGUGCAAAAUAAGCUUAAUGGGAAACCGGGAAGCAGUAAAUCACAUACAGUUCCCACUACUCGUAAGCAUUCUUUUCUUUUUCCUCUUCCUAGUAAUUAAACAGGACUGGUCUGUAUAAAUAAAGAAAA